rnacentral:tRNA from 1 species
GGGGAUGUAGCUCAGUGGUAGAGCGCAUGCUUUGCAUGUAUGAGGCCCCGGGUUCGAAACCCGCCAUCUCCA